rnacentral:lncRNA from 1 species
GCACAACCUUGUACCGGUACAAGCCUGCCAGAACUCAAUCCGAGAGCUGACCAAAAUCCAAAUUUUUGGGUUUCGGUGCAAGGCUUUGUACCACACUCCUCGGGACGCGUGCCAUAAGUCGGAACACAGUCAACGACCUACCAGAAAAUCUGGAAAAGCUCAGAGCACAGCUAAUCACCCGAACCUCGCAAUUUGCAAAGGUCCAGUGUGUUACAGUCCCGCAGACGGUCUCGGUGUGCGAGUGCAGAUUCUCCUCACCUAUGAGAUUGAAAGUGAGUCGGGGUUAACCCCGGGGUGGCAACCUUCGGGUUAGCCAUGAGAUUGGAUACUAUCGAGGCAUAGUUGCACGACGCACUAUGUAGUAGCUCGUUCAUUUGGAUUAUUGAGGCAUAGUAGCAUGUGCAGAUACAUCACUAUAUAGCAGCUCAUUUCUUUAUUGUUGAGACAUAGUAGCAUGUUGUAGAUACAUCACUAUGUAGUAGCUCAUUUCUAUUGUUGUUGAAGCAUAGUAUCAUGAUUAGUAGAAUAUCAUUGCUAUGUUCAUGCAUUCCAUGAUUACAGAGGCAUAGUAGCAUGUGUAUAUUCCAUUACUAUGUAGCAGCUCGUACUUAGUAGAGCGAGAUUGAGUCGGGCGAGGAGCGGGGUAGCUCUUUGCCUAGGACCUUCGAGAUUGAGUCGGGCAAGGAGCGGGGUAGCUCUUUGUCUAGGACCUUUGAGAUUUGAGAUCUUAGGCAAGUUGGCCUAGUCGAUUGGGUUGUAACAUGAAUAGCAUAAGUGGAUUGCAUUCAUGCCAUGAUUGGACAUAGUAGACUGCAUAACUAUGUUGUAGUUGUAUUUAUUACACUGUUGAAGCAUACUAGCAUGAUAGUAGGUUAUUGCUAGAUGAUGUUCCAUGCAUUCUUUGCAUUUGAUGGCAUAGUAGAUAUAGUAGCAAUGUAUUUCUAUCUACCUUUCUAUCUAUCUAUCUGUGCCAGCUUGGACCUAGUGGGAAAACCGGCGGCGUCGGCGGCCGAACCCACUGGGAACUAUAUUUAUAUAGUUCUCACCCCGUGUGGUUUUGGGGUAUAGGUACACACGAGAGCGUACCGGCAGAGGACCGUGGUAAGGGCACAGCGCCCUAGUAGCUAGUAGCUUUCCUUAUGCAUUAGAGUGCCCUCGUGUACAUAGAGAUGUAAAUGUAUUUGGAAGUUACUUAUGUAUUUGGAAAGACAUUUUGUAUUAUGAGAAUAAUAUGUAUUCAUUUGGGAAGAUGAAAAUGUAAAUCAAUAUGAAAAUUGAGGUUGAAUGAAUGUAAUAGCUAGAUGUAUCUCUCUUUAUUUCACUUGUAUGUUACUUGUGAUUCUUGCUCUUAGAUGUAUUGCACCUGUGUGCAUCGUGUUCGAUCAUGUAUGUUAUUUAAGCAUUCCCUGGGCGCUUAACUGUACAUGAUCUGGUUGCUUAGCCUUGGGCGGACAGGAGAGGUGCUGUCCGUUCGGCGUCUGAUCGACGUGCCCGGAUCUUGCCAAAUUGGCGGGUCGCGGGGCGUGACAGAUGGUCGUGGUAUCAGAGCAAGCUAAGAGCAAGUAAAGAGAGAGUUUAGGAUGACCUAGGAGACCCUAGGACAGUAAACCGUAAGGUUAUAGGUGCGUGAGUGGAACGUGAACCUAUAACGGUGGCGGAAGUUGAAUCGAUUGGGUCAAGUUAGUAAACCUCUAAGACAGAUGUUAGAGGUGGAUUCAAGGUUCAAUUUAUUCUCACUAGAGGAUGUUCAUGUUGGAUGCAUACAACAUGAAACCGAGAGAUGAGAAUAGGCACCCUUGUAUGACUUUCGCCUGAUUUGAGUCAAGCUGAUGUUAGUUGUUACGUGUUCGACCUAGAGGGUCGAGACCAACUGUGUUGUCGCGGUUUAGGAGAUCGACAAUGGUACCGCGUAGGCGAUCUUCGUUUAGAUCGGCGCGGGACGGGACAAGUGAUGUCCCAGAACGAUUCAAGCGAGCGGAGAAUGCAAACUUCGCUAUUGGUUGGCCACGCUCGUGGGAGUGAUGAGGCCACGAGUCGGUGGAUCGGUUGGCGAUCGCACCAGUUUUGGCACGUCGAGUACGGCCGGGAUUCGCGACGGAGGUGUUUCCGUCGGGGUCGGGCAAUCCGACUUCUAGCACUCCAAAGGUUGAGGCGGUGAGGGAGCGAGCGUCGAUGGCCCUCAUGAUUUUUACGGAAUUUGAUCCGCCUACCUUUGAUGGAGAGAAUGUAGAUCCGCAGAUUGUGGAGUUGUGGAUUGAUUCCAUGGAAACUCUAAUAGAGGAUCUAUGCUUAGUGCAAACGGGAGUUCUCCCAUAUCUCCAGUUACAUCCUAAACAUAGUACGGGAUGACGACGAUAUGGCCGAUUUGUUUGUGCGGAGACUUCGGCUAAAUAUUGUCAAGGUUGUGCAUGUAAGGAAGUGAAUUCUCGAAAUUUGAGAGUUUGACUUCGUUUAAAAUCGACCAUGUGUCGAGUUGGUGCACUUCGGAAUGUCCGAAAAUGCCAAAGAGGCAAAGAGUGCAUCGUAACGGACCUCGCCUUUCCCGUCUGUUGCAUCGGCUUUGGCGAUUUCGGGCCAUUAUGAAGGAGCCCUACCUACUGUUGCUUUAGCUAGACGCGCGAUGGCACCUCGUCAGCCAGAGGUGGCCCGUCGACUACGAGUGGCUGGGUGUUUGCCACUCAAGUCGAGGAACUUGCUGCCGCUAAUGAUGUCUUGGUAGGUAUGGCUUAAUACAAGCAAGCAGGUAUUUCGGCGUAAUGCGGAAUAGAUGCAUUGCAGACAUUUCCAUGGUCAGUUGCUACUAAUUAUGCAUUAGUAUAGUAGGGACCAGUGGANUCUUGCUUCUUCUUCUUCUUCUCCAAGCCCUAGAGCAAGAGUUCUAGAGAGAGAAAGAGAGGAAAAGGGAGAGAAGGGUAAAAUGGCUGUGGGAGAGAGAGGGGUGUCCACAUAUAGUGUUGUGACAAUUGCAUUUAAGCCCCUCAACUUAUUUCCCCUUGAUCUGCCCAGACUGGGCGUUUUUCGCCUUCGGGGACCAGUCUCCCCGACCAGGGACCGGUUCCCGAACGUGGGUGUUCCAGGACUUAGCCAAAUUUUCUAGUCUUUCGGCUGUUGCACAGCGAGGGACCGGUCUGCCCCUUCAGGGACCGGUCUCCCAAGGACCGGUCUCACUACCAGGGACCGGUUGCCUCAAGACUUCCUGGCAGGCUACGCGUACGGGGACCGGUCUCUCCUUCAGGGACCGGUCCCCGAGAGCACAAAAUCUGGGACUUAGCCAGAUUUCCAGAUUACUCUCUCGGGUCCCUUUUAGCCUCACUUAUGGACUCUAAUGUGCUCAUGGUCCACUCAAACUCAUUCAUCUCCGCAGUCCGCUCAUUUCGACGGAACUCGGCACGAUUUACGAGGGAUGUGGUAUGUUACAUGGAGGAAGUAGCACCAAGGAGUAAAAGAGAAGAUCAAACCACUAAAUAUCAUGCAAAAAGGGGAUCAAAUCCAAAGAGGGGAAAACAGGAGGUCCCCUACCUUGUCUCCACUGCCUCUCAGCUCAGGGAAGGCCCUAAGGAGCGUGGGGUAUGUAUAGAGUUGCUACAAAAGCGAAUACACCCCUCAAAGCUGCAGUUCUCGCAGUCUGCCAAAGUGUAGCGGUACACGGAAAAGUGUACCGGUACAAAUCCCGCGAACUCACAAACCCGACCUUCGGGUUGGCUAAAAACCACAAAUGUACCGGUACAACUAUCAAAGUGUACUGGUACAAAAUGUGUUCCAGUACAACCAUCAAGAUUGUACCGAUACACAACCCUGCUGAAGCAAACCCGAGAGCAAACCAAACAUUCAACUUUUUGGAUUUUGGUGCACAGUUAUAAACCUCAAUUCUCGGGAUGUGAGCCAUAGGUCGGAACACUGUCUACGACCCUCCAGAAUAUCUGGAAAAACUCAGAUCACAGAUUAAACAAUCGAACCUUGCAAUUUGCAAAAAUCCAGUGUGUUACAUUCUCCCCUCCUUAAAAGGAGUUUCGUCCGCGAAACUGCGGGUCAACCACGAAACAGACCCAUCCAAAAAGGAUGGAAGAAGCGCUCCAACAGCGCAUAGAUCAGACCAUGAAGGUCUCAAGCAUGACGGAAUGCUCCUCGGCAAAACACACAAGGUCCCACGAUGCCAAGACUUGGCAUAACUCAAGUAAAGCUUCCACUGAAGUUCUUCGAACUCAAGGCUUUACCGGAAGUUCCAUCUCUAGUCCGUGCCUGAUCACCAAGUCCAUCAGUCGGUUCUCACGAAACCAAGUAUUCCCAAAAGCUGAAUUCUCGUUCUCACCUUCCUCGUUCAAGUCGAGGGUAGGCCUUGCUCUGCUUCAAUUACUCUAGUAUAUAGAAUUCCAUCCAAAUACCUGUAGGAUACCGAACUUCUAAAAUUAUGAAGUUACGGUGGGAUGUAAUAUGCGGAUUUUAAUGUAAAAAGGGAAAUAAAUAAAAAUAGUAUGAGAUACUAUUUUUAUUAGAUUUAGAGAAGUGAAAUAUAAGUUUGGAAUGACCCGUGUUGAAAUCAGAGCGAAAACAGAAGAUUUAGAUUUUCUGUGAGAAACGGGGCAGAUAAAUUAGCAGAAAAUGCACAGUCUCAGAAAAUUAUGAAAACUAGCGGGGAUGCCAGAAAUAUUUUAAUGAGGCUAGAUUUAGAGUUUCAUAUUUUUCUGACACCCGUAGAGUGAGAACUAAAAUCCGACAGUUAUCUGAUAAAGAUUACAGUUCGGUACAGCUUUCGGUGACCAAACGGGGUCGAAACUGAAAGAUUAAAAUUUCUUUCGUUAAGUUAAGCAAAACCGAAUAUGACUGUCAAAUUUGAGCUCAAACGGAUAUUCAGGGAGUUCCGGCGAAAGAUAUCAGAUUUGGAGCUGCCUGAUGUGAAUAGUGUAUGCUACUAUUGAGGGUUGACUAUAAGUAGAAGCUUCUAGUGACUUGGCUUCUUCUUCACAGCCAAGCACCACCCCCACAAGAGCACGUUCAUGGUGUAGUGAGAGAAACCCUCUCUUUCUCUCUCUAAAUAUCUCUCUCAUCUCUCUAGAUCUUUCGCCCAAAUUCGCGGCGUUGGUGGAGAUCGAGCUUGCGAACGCGUUGGGAGCGACGGAUCGAGUUUUCGUGCGCCCGUUGGAUUGGCGUGCUUUCGUCUCGGCGUUCAUAUUUUGGUAAGCUAUCGGGAUUUGGCUUAAUCCUUAAGUUUAAGUGUUCUAAUAGCCUCUAAUGUGAAGUUAGCUUGUUAAAUCCUUAAUAUUUGGAUUGUUUGGAGCAUAUGUUGAGGCUAAGGUGUGAAAAUGGGGGUUUACAAAUUAGGUGGGGUUUGAUCUAAUUUGACCCUUCGUAAACCUAAUUGCUAGGUAAACGAACGCGUUGGUGAAGUCGGUUCGGCGAUUCGUCGAGCCUACGCGAAGUUAUUAAAGAAACAGACGUUUAGGCUUCGUUUCCGCCUGGAGGGCCGAGGCGACGUCGUAAAAUCAUGAAAAUGGAUUUGAAGCAUCGUGGCACAUAACCGAAGACCUUUAAUUUUCGGAUCGUGAAUUGGAGGCCGUUCGGGUGGUCGCGCGAGAGAUCGGGCCAAACCGGGUGCCGGGUGCCGCGGGAGGCCGAUUGCAAGUGUCGACAAGCAAUCGGAAUGCGAUAAAAGGUGGGGGGUGUCAUCCCGAAGCAACUGAGCUUCCUUUUAUGUCUAAGUUCUAUAUCUUGAUCAUAUUCCUAUAUGUUGAUAUAUUGUGCAUUAUAGGAUUAGUAGAUGAUUACAUUUCCAUUCCUUGCAUGUUACCUAGGUUGUGUAGCAUUGUGGGCUUGACACUUGAUCUUAGGUUGCAUGAGGAUUGGGUCUUGUGACAAGAAUCCUAUAGUGACAAGAAUGAUGAUGAACUUGGACAUGUAAUUGGCCUAGACGAGUGGCAUUUGGACUAGUGUAACAAAGACACUAUAAUAUUGACGAGUGGCAUGUCGAUUUAGUGUAUUAAGACACAUAUAACAUCAUGACAUAAACGAGUGGCAUCAAAUCUAGUGUAGUGAAACACUAUGGCAUUUGAACCUAGGGAUAGUAGAUUUUCCCGAUUGUCAUGUUGUAGACAUUAUGCAUUUGGCAUUAGUGCAUUUGAGGCAUUGAUUAUGCAUUUGGUAUUGUGCAGCAGAGGCACAUUGACCCUGGUAGAUAGGGUAUCCUCUUGUGAGGAUUGGAUCAUACUCACUAGUCUGUUUUUGCUUGUCGGUGGUCGCUCCACCGAAGCACGAGUCUCCGGAGUACUUCACUAGGGGCAGACGUAGUUGUCCCGCAGACGGUCUCGGUGUGCGAGUGCAGAUUCUCCUCACCUAUGAGAUUGAGAGUGAGUCGGGGUUGACCCCGGGGUGGCAACCUUCAGGUUAGCCAUGAGAUUGGAUACUAUCGAGGCAUAGUUGCACGACGCACUAUGUAGUAGCUCGUUCAUUCGGAUUAUUGAGGCAUAGUAGCAUGUGCAGAUACAUCACUAUGUAGUAGCUCAUUUCCAAGCAGAUUGGGUAAAGAAUAUGAAUGGCAUAGCAGAUUUGCAUUCAUACCUUGAGUUGACAUUGAGACAUAGUAGCAUGUUGUAGAUACAUCACUAUGUAGUAGCUCAUUUCCAUUAUUGUUGAAGCAUAGUAUCAUGAUUAGUAGAAUAUCAUUGCUAUGUUCAUGCAUUCCAUGAUUACAGAGGCAUAGUAGCAUGUGUAUAUUCCAUUACUAUGUAGCAGCUCGUACUUAGUAGAGCGAGAUUGAGUCGGGCGAGGAGCGGGGUAGCUCUUU